CCUACGGGAGGCUGCAGUGAGGAAUAUUGGUCAAUGGACGAGAGUCUGAACCAGCCAAGUAGCGUGAAGGAUGACUGCCCUAUGGGUUGUAAACUUCUUUUAUAUGGGAAUAAAAUGUUCCACGUGUGGGAUUUUGUAUGUACCAUAUGAAUAAGGAUCGGCUAACUCCGUGCCAGCAGCCGCGGUAAUACGGAGGAUCCGAGCGUUAUCCGGAUUUAUUGGGUUUAAAGGGAGCGUAGGUGGAUUGUUAAGUCAGUUGUGAAAGUUUGCGGCUCAACCGUAAAAUUGCAGUUGAAACUGGCAGUCUUGAGUACAGUAGAGGUGGGCGGAAUUCGUGGUGUAGCGGUGAAAUGCUUAGAUAUCACGAAGAACUCCGAUUGCGAAGGCAGUUCACUGGACUGCAACUGACACUGAGGCUCGAAAGUGUGGGUAUCAAACAGGAUUAGAUGCCCGAGUAGUC
rnacentral:rRNA from 1 species